rnacentral:misc_RNA from 1 species
UUCUCUCUCUCCCUCUCUCUCUCUGAGUUCUCUCUCUAGAUUGCCCCUUCUCUUUUUAACCCCCAAAUUCCAAACCCUAACCCUAAAAUUUCCCUAGAAGGAUACAGAAUUUCUCUCAUGAAAUUCCUGCCGCACGCAAACGCUGGAUUCCCAAUCAAAUCUUCGUUUAAAACAAAUCGAAGCUUAAUUUGAUGAUAAUAAUCAAAUUAUCUUACUCUCUUAAACUCUAGCUAUCCUCUUUCUCCGUGUCUAUCUCGUCUUAGAAAUAUAUGGAGGGCUCUGUAGUGGAGGAUCUCGGAGCCCCUGAGUCAUGGGAGGUGGCCGAUUUGGACGAAACGAUGAGCCGUUUGAUGCUUCGGGAUUCGAAGCAAGAAUCCGAAAAACUCCCUCUAGAGCUCUCCGCCGAUGUUUCCAUUCAUUCGGGCUUGGCGUCGGGUUAUGGGUCUUCAGCUUCCGGUACCGGCAGUGGUGAGAAAGUGUCAAACGAUAUAAUUAAUCAGGUCGAUCAGUUCCUUCGUGAAGCCUUGCAGAACCCUCGUGAGCGGCUCUCCAUUCUGAGGAUGGAGCAAGAUGUUGAAAAGUUCAUUUGUGAUCCUACACAACAGCAAUUAGAAUUUCAUCAGUUGCCCACUUCAUAUUUACGGUUGGCUGCACACCGUGUAGCACAACAUUACUCGCUUCAAUCUAUGGUUUUGUUAGACAAUAAUUUACCUGAUGGAUCUGGUUCCAGAAUUAUUGUCCGCAAGACUUCUGAGUGUAGGUUGCCUUUGAUUCGGCUUGCAGACAUCCCUGUAAAUUUGCCAUCAGAAGACAGUGGUAUUGUUAAAGUUGCGAUUAAGCAAAGGCCACAGAAGCGGCUGCAAACUGUCAACAAUUCAAAUUCAAAUUCCAUGAAGACAAAUAGUUCCAAAAGUGUGGAGGAAAGAAAAGAGGAGUACAACAGGGCACGUGCACGAAUAUUUAAUUCUAGUGGUUUUAGCAGUAGUGCUAGUGGGAAGCCAGAAGGUGAACAAAGAGUGCAAGAUGGUUCCCAGCAUAGUGUGUUGGGUAUAUUGAAGACAGAAGAAAAACCUGUUUCGGGGAGUUCAGAUAUAAAUUCUGGUAGAGGUUCUAUUGAAUCUUCUACAAGUAGCAAUAGAUCAGCUAGAACUAGGACAGAGAAGGAGCCAGUUAGUAGGUACAAACCAAACAAUAGGGUGGCCAUCUUUCGAGACCGUGAAGUUGAUAGGAAAGAUCCAGACUAUGACAGGAGCUAUGAUAGGUAUAUGCAAAGGUUUGAUCCUGGAUUUGGAUUCAAUGGAGGACCUUACACCAUGCAGCCAAUGUACACCCCUGCAUUGAACUACAACACUGAAUUUCCGCAACUUGGUUCCAGCCAUAGGCCACAAAUAUCUGCAGAACAUCAACCUCGACCUCUCCCUCAACAUUUACCUGGGCCGUGGGCUGCCCCGUCGACUACUCCUGGAAUUGGAUAUGGCCCUCCAGAAACAAUGAUGACACCAUUCAAUCCAAAUCAUGUUGGUGCACGUUCUUCAUCUGCCAUUUAUCUACAUUCGUCUCAGUAUCCCUGUCAGCGCCCAGGAAUGCCUUUUAUCCAUCCUCACGAGCAUGUUCAACCUUUUUCACAGUCUCAUCAACAACAACCUGAUGCAAGUUUUGGUUUAGCCCGGCCCCGAUGAGGGGCUUGGGCCAUGCCUGCACCCUGGCCGCUGGGACCUGGGCUUGGAAUAUUUUAUGAGCUGAUGAUGCAGCUUCAAAUACAUCUCAACUUGCAGGAGUGCAGGCACAAGGAACUGAGGUGGAAGGCAGGUGGGCAUUUGUGUUCUGAUCGAUUCCUCCACUCUCAGUAUCACUUGAAGCUUCUUCCACUUGUGAUGAAUGAUGAAGAAGCUCAAAGGCUCGGCAGAUCAAUCGUGUGAAUGAGUGAGAGUCCUGUUUUAACCCUGAUGAUGAUGAUGAAGAAUAUUGCAAAAAGAAUUGUUGUAGUCAGAAAUGGGCGUGCUCUCACUGGACAAAGGUGUGUCUUGUUCCAUCACUCUUACCUUUUCAGUUUAUUAAGGGCCCAUUUGACAGCAUUGUCCAAAUUUAUUAAAAUCAAAACUGGGAAAAAGAGUUGAUAAUUUGUGUAAUUCUUUCAUAACCCAAAGCAAAAUUAAGAAGUCACUUGUUUCCUCAUCAAAAAAUAAUUUGGUAUAAUUGUAUCACAUAAAAAUUGCAUAAUUCAACUUGACUCUUUUAUUUUAACGUUUUGGAUGUUGGUGGUGGUCUGAGGUGCUAGGGUAGCACUGGUGAUAAACAAAUGCUGUGGUGAUGUUAUGUUUACAGUAGUGAUGGCAGAGGUGGAGCUGGAAAUAUGACAAUGACAGCAUUAGAGUGGUGACAAUUAAUUGCCACAAUCUUUUUAAUAUUUCCCUUUUCUCUCAGAACGUCCAUCUUUUGCUGGUUUUUAAUUCCUUUUCUCUUUUAAAGGCAAAAACCCAACUAACUACAUUGCCUGACACACAAUUUUUGCUGAAAAAAAAAUGCAAAAAUGGUUGAAGAUGAAAAUUGCUUCUAAUCUUUUGCUUCUGUUUACAUGUUUUUAAAAUGUUUAAAUAUGCCGUCCCCCUUUUUUUGCAGCGCCGUAAAGAGCUAAAAUGGAAAAAUACUUGGAAGGUUAUUUACGUUCAUGCUGGUGUUUUGUAUUUAGCUUGCAGAAGCUUGGUCGUGCAGCUGAUUACCCCGUAUAAAGCUCUGAUCGCUGCUUAUUAUGCUUUACAAGAGUACUUCUAGUAAUCAAGUGGAUGUUACCAUGUAUCAUAAAUUCAUAUGUUCUGGACUGUAGUGGAAUGUUUUAAUAACUAUCUGCAAUCUGAUAGUCACUUGUUAUUGAUGAUAUGCUUUCUGGAGAUAUUGAUUAUGAUUUUCUGCUAUAAAGUUUUACUUUCCUAGGUAGAUGUGUCAAAAAUUGCCUCUGUUGUUGCUUAAGAAACCGUUUGUGGUUUUAAUUAGUUCCUUGGGCUUUUAUCAAUUUGGCAUGCUGAGGAUCCAAUGUUUAUGAUGUUGACUGUCUUUCCAUAAUUCUACUUCGCUCCAUCGCCUGGCAAGGUUGUAAUCCGGGAUGGGGGCAUAGUGAAGGGUUAUUAAUGGUAAAAUCUGUGGUGGAUUUUUUUUUCUAGCUUAUGAUCUACACUCAAUUUUGUGAUAACAGUAUGCGACUCGGUUUAAUUCUUGUAGUGCAAAAUUGGAGAAUUUUGUCCACUUGUUUCCCAAGUUUGGUGCACCAAUUGGAUAGAGGAUUAAAAUGGACGAUGUUCUUUCACAAAUGUGGUUGUAUUUUGCAUGAGAUGUGAAUGAAUCCCAAAGUACAUGGGGAGGAGUGGCAAUCCAAUACAUGGAAAGGAGUGGAGUGGCAAUGGAUAAGGGGUGUAAUUGGUUGGUUUGGAUAUAAAUG